rnacentral:rRNA from 1 species
ACUGCUCAGUAACACGUGGAUAACCUGCCCUUGGGUCCGGCAUAACCCCGGGAAACUGGGGAUAAUUCCGGAUAACGCACAUAUGCUGGAAUGCUUUAUGCGUAAAAUGGAUUCGUCUGCCCAAGGAUGGGUCUGCGGCCUAUCAGGUAGUAGUGGGUGUAAUGUACCUACUAGCCAACAACGGGUACGGGUUGUGAGAGCAAGAGCCCGGAGAUGGAUUCUGAGACAUGAAUCCAGGCCCUACGGGGCGCAGCAGGCGCGAAAACUUUACAGUGCGGGAAACCGUGAUAAGGGGACACCGAGUGCCAGCAUCAUAUGCUGGCUGUCCGGGUGUGUAAAAUACACCCGUUAGCAAGGGCCGGGCAAGACCGGUGCCAGCCGCCGCGGUAACACCGGCGGCCCGAGUGGUGAUCGUGAUUAUUGGGUCUAAAGGGUCCGUAGCCGGUUUGGUCAGUCCUCCGGGAAAUCUGACGGCUCAACCGUUAGGCUUUCGGGGGAUACUGCCAGGCUUGGAACCGGGAGAGGUAAGAGGUACUACAGGGGUAGGAGUGAAAUCUUGUAAUCCCUGUGAGACCACCUGUGGCGAAGGCGUCCUACCAGAACAGGUCCGACGGUGAGGGAUGAAAGCUGGGGGAGCGAACCGGAUUAGAUACCCGGGUAGUCCCAGCUGUAAACGAUGCAGGCUAGGUGUUUGGACGGCCACGUGCCGUUCUAGUGCCGCAGGGAAGCUGUUAAGCCUGCCGCCUGGGGAGUACGAUCGCAAGAUUGAAACUUAAAGGAAUUGGCGGGGGAGCACA